UGCAAAUCCCAAUGCUUUCAAUCCUCUUGAUAAAUACCGAAUAAGUCAUCUUAUGCUCAAUGAUGAUAUCCAGAGUACAUCGUCUGUAGUUCUUGCUGGGAAGAUUUCACCUUUGAGAUUACUGGCUUGAACUUUAGCACAUCAAUAUUUUCUAAUUCCCGGAUGUCGGAGAAUUUGCGUCGCACUAUUAUCGGAGCUCUACUUUUGUAAAUGAGAUCAUAUGUACAUUGGUUGUAUCUCAUUUGGUUCUAAGUUAUGACUUAUAAGUUUUUUGGAAUGGAAAAUUGUGUAUAUUUUCACUUAUUUGGGCUUCUUAUCAGCUUUUACAUUGAUGGAAAUAUAUUUAAAUAUUUUG